UAGGGAAUCUUCCACAAUGGGCGAAAGCCUGAUGGAGCAACGCCGCGUGAGUGAUGAAGGCCUUCGGGUUUUAAAACUCUGUCAUUCGGGACGAACCGGAGUCUGAGGAAAUGCAGACUCUCUGACGGUACCGGAGGAGGAAGCCCCGGCUAACUACGUGCCAGCAGCCGCGGUAAUACGUAGGGGGCAAGCGUUGUCCGGAUUCACUGGGCGUAAAGCGCGCGCAGGCGGUGAUGUAAGUCUGAGGUGAAAACCCGAAGCUCAACUUCGGGACUGCCUUGGAUACUGCGUCACUUGAGGAUAGGAGAGGCAAGGGGAAUUCCACGUGUAGCGGUGAAAUGCGUAGAGAUGUGGAGGAACACCUGUGGCGAAGGCGCCUUGCUGGCCUAUUUCUGACGCUGAGGCGCGAAAGCGUGGGGAGCAAACAGG
rnacentral:rRNA from 1 species